GCAAUGGUGAUUCAGUGGUAGAAUUCUUGUCUUCCAUGCAGGAGACCCAGGUUCAAUUUCUAGUCAAUGAC
rnacentral:tRNA from 1 species